GAUGAACGCUGGCGGCGUGCCUAAUACACGCAAGUCGAGCGAAUGAUGAGGAGCUUGCUCCUCUGAUUUAGCGGCGGACGGGUGAGUAACACGUGGGUAACCUGCCUGUAAGAUGGGGAUAACUCCGGGAAACCGGGGCUAAUACCGAAUAAUAAAAGAGGAAGCAUUUCUUCUUUUUGAAAGUUGGUUUCGGCUAACACUUACAGAUGGGCCCGCGGCGCAUUAGCUAGUUGGUGAGGUAACGGCUCACCAAGGCGACGAUGCGUAGCCGACCUGAGAGGGUGAUCGGCCACACUGGGACUGAGACACGGCCCAGACUCCUACGGGAGGCAGCAGUAGGGAAUCUUCGACAAUGGGCGAAAGCCUGACCGAGCAACGCCGCGUGAGCGAGGAAGGCCUUCGGGUCGUAAAGCUCUGUUGUCAGGGAAGAACAAGUACGAGAGUAACUGCUCGUACCUUGACGGUACCCGACCAGAAAGCCACGGCUAACUACGUGCCAGCAGCCGCAGUAAUAC
rnacentral:rRNA from 1 species